AUCUAGGUUAUCAGAUAACAGAACUAUUCGCUCGCUGGGUAAAGCCUAUUUUCCAAAUUGUGCAUUAGCUGGGUUACAACCUUUAACCAUUUGGGCGACAGCGACUAGAAGUGCUUCUAGUUACCGUACGGAAAUAAUGAGCGUGACCGCUUGAUGGACCCGAUGUCGUUUCUUGCGGCCGCAGUUCGUGGCCGAUGUCGCGCGCCCCGUGCGGUUCUUUUUGCAAGCAGCAGUGUGAACCUGGUCGAAACGGCUUUGGCGUGUUCGGUACGCGCGAAAAAUUGAUUUUACACGGUCCUCGCGUACAGCUAUGAUUUUCUGCGCCCUUGAAGCGUUUGUCCUCAAGUCUCGACUUCCUCAGAUAGUAUCGCUUACUACGAAGUGUGCGUUAAGCGGUUUGUAGGUACAGUAAUGAGAACGGGACUUAUGAAUGAGAAAAGGAACUAAAAGUACUUAAUAGGAAGUGGCACGGUCGAUCUACCGAGAGGUUAUGUAGUCGAUUGUGUACAGAUUACCGUAACGGUAUUCCACCCUCGUAUAAGAAACUAUAACCGGAACUGGUCUAUAAGCAGAAAGGAGAGCCAAGAGGACGGCAGGGCCAAUUGAUUUUUCAAGUUUCUUCGCUGCUGAAUAGCCUAACCUCUACGGCAGGUUGCAGAUCGAUAUGUUCCAGGUUGUACGGGCACUUGACUAACCUAACCUACGUAAGCAAAAUUGCGAUCUCUUUCGACUAUCUCUAAAUGUAUUUUCGGCCUGGCGUUCUCUCGGGGUCAGGGAUGCCAACGUUAUAACCGUGGGCGGUCAAGGGGUAUGUACCCGGACUACACGGAAGUUGGAGUGGCUCCGGAGGGAGGAGCUAAAUUCAGAGAUCAAUACGAGAAAAGCAUGACACGCGCUUGUGAAACCACGGCAGAGCGAUCGACGAUUCAGAAUGCGACAACUUGUCUAGAUCGAUCCAACUUUCUGUCGUGCCUGUGAAAAGAAAGGAAAGGUCAGGCUGUCAAUGAGCAUAGGUGAAAGUUAGACAGAGACACUUAAUAACAAUAGGACUACAUACUGUCCCACUAGUUGGCAAUUGGUACUGGGGUUUCAUUUCAGGUGACAGCUGACACAGAAGGAAAGAAUAUAAAAAACUGGAAAGUUUCCAUAUACAUUUAUCACUGUUGUACUACUGACUCCAGCUUAUUCUAUGGACAGCGUUACUUUAUAAUUGAGGGUAUGGGAGUUGACAAUUUCUUGGAAAAAUCAAGAUAUUCUCUAUAUAUCUUCACUAUAUUCAACAACAUUAGCUGCUGCUGGAGUCAGGAGGCAAAGGUCAAUUUUUCAUAAUUAAUCAUACUUCUGGGACGGAAAUUUUCAAACUAACACUGCACGCGGUACAUACGCAGCUCGCACAGUCCAGCAGGUUGCAAAGAGCAUUUAUUGUAUCAUGGCGUUGGUAUUGCUUGCGCAAUGCUUUGGUACAGAGCGUGUAAGAGCGUGAGUGCCAUGGCCAUUGGGACAACGGAGCGCAUAGCCAUGAGAGCAAAUGUUGUGACACAACACUCCAAAGCACACAGAUAUUGUGACAGUGCCCACCGGCCGAGGUUGAAAAGCUAGUGUGAGCAGAUAAUAACUGGAUGAAUUGCUGGAUGAUCAACUGAAUUAGACUGAAGAUCAUUAUAUUAUAUGCGUACAUCAGAGGGUUGUUCUCCUGGAUGUUGGUCGGCUGCGUCACGGCCGCCCUUCUAGGACGCCAUAGAGCAAAUCUUGCCAAUCCGUAUUUUGUCAUCACUUUGUGGGAUUUUCUUGAUUUCAGAUUUUUGGUAACGACGCCCAAACGAGUAGCGUCUGAGCAGCCUUGAUUGACCCAGGCUAUGAUGAGUUCAGGUGGGCAGCUAAUCACAUGGAAAGAACACCUAAAGAGGUAAGGAUGCCAAUAACUAUCCAACUCCGAUUUAACGAUGAUGGCGUCCUCUUGAUGGUUUAAAGUUUGUUUCUUUUUUUUCCAGUGAAUCGCUCACGUAAAUUCUUGCCGAGUGUCUCGUUGAGAUUCGAUGCACGUCACUGGAGAAGUAGUCAGGCGGCACGCCGUCAGUCGAGAGUCGUGAGCCAAGAGUCGAGACGCAAAGAAUGUAGAUCCGUAAAUCGUUCCGCCAAUCCGUGGCGGCACUGAGCUUGCGCAAUCCGCCCGACUGCCUGGAAUAAUUCAGUGACUUGAUCGGCCUAUGGAAUCUUGACGUAAUGCAAGUUUUAAAAGGCACGCGAUGUUGUACAUAUGCGGACGCAUCGAUUAUGUACGGUCACCGUGUUCUCGUGCCACUGGUCCACCUCGAUCGUCUCAUCCAAGUUCUCGACCUCGGCCACCUCCUCGUGCACCUCAGAGUAAUAUGUGACAUUCUCCAAUUAUGAUUAAUCUCUCUCUUGGUCUUCUUUCGCCACUUUCUCUUCUUCUUGUUCUAACUACUCUUCGUUGGAUAUGAUUGUAUCAGUGUUCAGACUUCCAUCGUUGAGGUGUUGUUCCAGGAGGUCCGCAGGAACCUGACGAGCUUGAAGCACGCCAGGUUUUUUCUACGUCUCCCACGUAGGCACGGAUCGAUUUCGUGACCGUCACCGGCGGCGGCUAGGUCACGGGGUGAAAGGGUGGAAAGGCAGGAAGGUGGAUAUCCAGUAAAGCAUAAAUGUGCGUCAUUGACAUGAACAUUGGGAACCUUGAUUCUUCACGAUUAACCGACUGUUUCUGUUCACAGCUCCUGACUCCAAGCACUUUGAGGUCAAGUUUGAUUCUGCUGAUUGAACUUGACAGUUGACAGUUUCCGGCAUAUCCGCGACACGCUGGCAAGUCAUUCAAUCACCGGGUGCCUCCACUUUGUGACUUUUAAGUCCAAAGCCUCUCAGAGGUAGCCAUGUUGCUUUUUUGGCUUCUCAACUUCCCUCACUGGCACACACUCUUUCGAUCUUUCAGCACUCGAAUGACUCUGAUGACUUCAGCCAGGCAUGUUCCUCCUGGAACAUUUUUCUUAAUGAUCCUGAAUCCUCAGGUGUGGCCGGUAGUUCAGCUGGCGUACCGCGACGAUCCAAACCCUUCGAGUCAGCCUAGAUAUUCUCGGGGUAUUCGAGGAGCUGCUACUUCGGCGAUUGCGCUCUACGCAGACUAUGCUACCCCGUGAACAAGGGUGGUUGGUUCCUGUUCUCCUUCCACUCUAUCGAUCGAGCCUCGUUCCUCCCACGGAAGAAAGAAUAGUCGGCAGAUCCCAUAAAUGUCAUCAUCAAAAAUAGCCCAGAUCAAGAUCCCAUCCCAUCCCAUCAUCUUCAAGAAAAAAAAUCACAGUACCAGUGAGCAGAAAAAGAUAUCUCAAACUGUUCUAGAAGUUGAUAGAACUUCUGACCUAUGAGCUAUCGCUCCAUUCAACCCUUCAUGAGAUAUUUCCUGAACAGAUGAUCUCUAUUCAUCUGUUUUUAAAUCUGUCCGCUGCGUGGCGCCACUGUCGAUCAAACGAGCUCGACCUCGAGCUUCCAAGACGGAAUCGUGCUCGAGGCAAGUUCCUCCCUCUCUGGGUACCCUCGCCCUCACCCUUGGUGCUUCGCCCCCAAUGAACUCUGACGAAGUGAUCGGUACCCGCUGCAUGAUGGCAGCACUGGCUAACCAGCAUAAACGCCAACCACGGCAGGUACAUCAACUACGAGUAGCUCGACCGAAGUAACGCCGCAACGUAUUGGAUCCACCGAGUUCGAAUGAGAAAUAAUCUCAAGAAUCCAGUCGGCCAGUCCCACCACCCACUCACUCCCACACCCGUCACACAUGUGUGUCAACGAUAACUAUACCGGAAGAAGAAUCCUCGAGCGAUGCUUGUGAAAGCAUUGUCUGGCAUGGAGUGUGCUUGACCUUCUCCUACAUAUCGAGUGGGUAUGAGCUAUGAGCUUGUACGACUUGCGACCUAAAGGCUCUUCUUACCGACCAAGCUACUACAUGAGUUAUCAGUGAAGGACAUCCUUAUGCCACAUACGUGGGCAUGGCUGCCUCUGUUAUCCUUUGUCGAGAAAGAUCUCUCUCGAAAAAUCUCCAUUCUAUGGACGUGCACGUUAUAUUAUAUGUAUAUAGACGUAUUCAGGCAUAUCACUUGUCAUACUGUAUAUCCACUCAUGAAAUGCCAAUCGGCUCUUUGUUGGCUAGAAGCAUACUUAAAACAUUUCGAGGUCCACCCAAUGAAUUUUCUCUCUUUCUCUCUCUCUCUCUCUCUCUCUCUCUCGUUUUUCUUUCUUUUCUCUCUCGCACGAGCGAUCUCCCUUGACCCCUUGACCCGGCUCACGACACAACUAGGACAUUGCGCCAGUUCGAUAUAUCAUCCCCACCCACCCUGUAACCUGGCUUCCUGAACGAUCUAACCAGUUGCCAUCUGGAAGAGAAUGCUUCUCUCCUGCCACCUUUGGGAAUCAUGCCUGAGGCUGACAUCCCUCCCCGCCGAUCCUUCUAUUUGGCUUCGGAGCUUUUCAAAACAUCUUGUUUACUUUGACUCGCUUUCAGCACGCGUGUCUCUGGCUGAAGCGGCAACUGGAUUUCUAGUAAUAGCCUCGACGCGCGGAUGAAGAUAUUUACUUUUAGGGUUUCCUGUUCAUCCGGGAGAGAAACAAUACUGACACGGCGAUUGUGCAUGACGCAACUAUGUUAUGCGGAUUAUUGGAGCUGAAAGGACUUACCUUAUUCUGCGCAAUUGUCGGACGCGUAUUACGUUCGCUUGGUGGUACUUUCAUGGUACUUUCACCGAUUGCCCAAUUUCUUUAAGUGACCUGAGUGCCGAGUGUUCGUGCAAAUAAAUUUGCUAUUACGUAUCUAUACGUAUAAGGAGCAUCGCUAUUUUGAGUUAUUACAUGCAACUUCAAUAUAUUAUAUUUUCAGAGUCGCGCGAAUCGAUAUAUAUAUAUAUAUAUAUAUAUAUAUAUAUAUAUAUAUAUAUCGAUUAUAUUAUUGAUAUCACAGGGUGGUCGAAAUAUGGCUACAUAGUCUGCUUUCUGAGAAAUCGUUGGAAAUAUGGAGUUGACUUUUUCUUUAAAUUAAAUGAGAUAAGAGGGUUGACUAUUUUACUUGUAAAAAAAUUUCGAGUGCCCCUACAUGGAGAUAGGGGACACUCAUUGUUUUUGAGUGGAGUGCAAAUAUUAGUUUAUUGGUAAAGCUUUUAUCAAAUUUGAUAAAAUUUGUUUGCAACAUUUUUUUAUAUGUUAAGUGGUUUUAUAUUUAAUUUGAAAAAAAACAUCAAUUCGAUAUAACCGAUGAUAUUGGAAAAAAAUUUGCAACACUAUUUGGAUCACCCAAUAUAUAUACGUAUAAGGAAUGCAUGAUAUAACCUAUCUAUGUAGAUACAAUCAAUCCAAUAAAGAAGAGGAAGAAUACGAAGAUAUUUUUUAUAGUUAUUAAUUGUGAGUGACCCUGGGCCGUAGGACAAGCGAACUGGCCAAUUGGUCGACUCGGUGUAUAAAAAACCUUUGAUUUCUGGGAAAAAGAACGAGUAAAAUCGAGUAGAAAACGUGAGAGAGACCGUUCAGACAAGUAUAUGUCCAGACAAUAACAAGAAGACAAGUAUAAAAUGACUUAAUAAAAAAAAUUCAAGUAGUAAUAAUAAAGUGUCAUGCAACAGUGUUACAACAAUAGAUUAAUAAAAAAACAAACAGAGCGACUGCGCGUGCGCUUACGUGACAAUGACAAUGAGUAAUAUAGUAAUAAAAAUGCAUGUAUCUGCGCAAUCUCAAGAAGGGGAAAUGAGACGGACAUAGUAAAGACAAGAUAAAAGAGACGAACAGAGAUAUAGACAAAGAUAAAUACAUAAACAGUAAACUCGUAGUGUGUGGCGUCGAAUGGCCGGACGUCUUGAUAUUAGUCCAACAUCCCUACCAACAUAAUAACACUGUUAUCAGAGUUGUUCGCUGGAGGAUGACAAACAAAAAUAAAGGUAUAACGGGACUGUUGUGCAUUGUCUAUUUGAAACAACAUAACCAUAACAAAGUUCCAUCAACUUCGGUAAAAAUACAUCGAGCGAUAACGAAGCGAUCUGAAAAUUGCGUUGGCGGCCAUUAUGCUGACGUCACUGUGACGUAUUACUAUCUCAACCACGUCAACCAACUGGAACCUGUACGUAUUUAUGUAUUUUAGUAAAAAUCUCGAACAUCUGACGAGACUCGACUGAGAAAUAAGAGACAGACCGACAGGAGGAAAAUGAAUCGAGCCUAGUUCCAGUCUCAUGCACAGAUGGCGACACUGUCGACAAAGUGGAUACACGCUAAUAGAGUUUGGAGGGCUUUCCGAGAUGGCAGCGAGAUGCUAACCUCGGCAGAGAUGACUGAGAUUGGAAACUGUGGUAUAUUAUACGAAGCCAACUCCUGCCACUUCGCCCUUUCUCUCGCUCUGUCUCUCUCGCUCUCCCAUUCCUACUCGGCCCAUUGCCAAGACGCUGCCAGAGCACUCUUGUAUUUCCGCCUCUUCCUCAGCUCCGCUUUCCCACCCCGCUCACCACAACUUUUAGCCACUUCCUCUUAAUCUUCCUCUUAUUCACGAUGAGGUCGUACCACGUACGGCCGUCGCAAAAGCGCCGUGGCACGAGAUAGCUACAGGCCAGACAUACGGCCUUUUUCCAAGCUAACGGUGGGUGCCCGGAGGGGGAACAGAGAGAUUUAGGCCGUUGAUUUUAAUCGGCUCGAGGGACUCGACCAUUCAGCAAAAUUCCAGCGAAUGCUCGCGGAACUUGGAUCAUGAUUCGAGAGAGAGGCAAGAAGGAUCCAAGGUGCAAGACUGUGAUCGAGGUCGAAAAGAUGGCCGCGGGGAGGUGCUGUGGGACCUUGAGCGCAACCCUAGCGCCACACCACUACAAUAUGGAAUGGCUGCCUGCUCGCAGAUUGGCGCUUCGGAUAUACAACCCGUCAUUAUCGGUGUAGGCCGGAAGAUCAUCAACAGUGCGGACUAAUGAGUCAAUGGGUCAACGGGCCAAUGAGGUAAAGGACGCCGAGAGUAAUGCCAUGGGGGCUGAUCGUGAAAGGGGAGCUUUUAUAGGGGUUUGAGAACACACGAGGAGGUUAUGGCGCGAGAGACUUGGUUCGAGCAGCUGCCAAAAGCUUCGGCGUCCUUUUCAUCUGUACGUCGAGACGCUCGAGCGACGUCGAAUUAACGACUUUUGUCUUAAGAGCCUAGUCGAGGAUGGAUUCUUGGACUUAGAUUUUGACUGAAAGGUUCGUGACGAGUUGAUGACGACAUUGAAUUAAAGAAAAUUGAUGGGGGAGGCACAUAUGUUGUUACUCUACUUUGGGGUUACUGCUUUUUCUUUUUUCUUGAUAUUUAGCAAUUCCAAAUUUUUUAGUAGACAGGGAGAGGGGAGAGAGAGAGAGAGAGAGAGAGAGAGAGAGAGAGAGAGAGAGACAGUCGGUACCACGUGUCAACAGUAUUUAAAUUUUGGAUCGAUCUAAUGAAAAAUUAAUUUAUCGAUCUUCUGAUUGAACAAUCGAAUGAAAAUGUCUGCGAUCAAUUAAAGACGGGUGAUUAUUGAUUUUUGGAUAAUGCGAUAAGGAUUUACGAACACUAGCGUUCACUAUUGCUAAAUUAUAGCUCAGCCUUGUAAUUACACGUAGACACGUGUGCCCAUGUUCAGGCGAAUUUUUGCUAAGCUGUUUUUAUAUUUAUUUUAGUUUUCGAAAUGUGAAUACUACCCACACUAAUAGCGACAAUAACAAUGACUGACACGUAUUACGGUAAUGCAUGCGCGCGUAACCGUGGACGGUGCUACGUAUUCAGGAUUUGAAUUUUUUUGUUCCCAAAGCUUCCGGCAGAAAACCGACAAAAAAGCCAACGGCUAAGCGUUUCUUUCAUCCCUCGGAGGUGUCUCCAAGGUUUUAAGUGCGAUCGAUUAAAUUCGCUCCAGCAAAAAAGAAUAGCCGAGGGCACGGAUGCAUUGUUUCGCGGUGAAAAGGGACAAAAAAAAAGGGUGGAAAAAAUGUGAAAAAUAAAAAACAGGAAACCGUGUGAAACGAAAGAAAAAAAAGAAGACCCGAAGAAGCGAUCAGAUCCGAGGAUCAAGAUAAAAACGUGAAAAGUGCGUAACGCGUGUGCGACACGUGUGUAGAUAUAUUUCCGUGUGAAAGCAGGACUGGUAACAUAUAGAGGUAAGGAUGACCUAACCUAACGUUAAGAUGCGAUACGUCCUGUGCAUCUCUAUGUACACAUAUGUAGAGAUGCAGAUGCAACGUAGAGUCGGCAAGUAAGGUAAACACGAUAAUAAAGAUAAAAGAAA